rnacentral:lncRNA from 1 species
CCCAAAUGUUGGGCCUUUAACAAAAACAGGUCUUUAAAAGAGUUUGAAUCUUGACAUUCUAUUUUAUGAGGUAAGAAGGAAUCUUUGAGCUCCUGAAUGAUGUCAGACAUUUUCUGUCAACUGUAGACUCUUUCUUGUGAAGUCCACAUUUCUGGAGAAAGGAGAGCGGCUCUGAGUUGUCUGACGGGACCUCGUGAGUUGUCCCGGGCUCACUUUGGAAUCCAUUGCCAUGGUCCCAACCCCACGUUUCCCAGACGGGGGUACGACCGCCGAGACAGGAGGCAUGCUCUGCCGUGUACCACCCUGUGUCAUGGGUUGUGAGGGCCUUUCCACUCCGCUGUGCAGGUGGCUCUCAGGUACCCUGGCCUGGAGGUGGUCUUCCUGCCCAAUUCCCAGAUCAUCCUCCAAUCUGCACCAGUCCUUUAGAGAAGUGGAAUCUGCUAGAACUGUCAAGGAUUAUGAAGGUGCGCCAGAGUUCAGACUGAGAAGAACUUAUUUGGAUUCUGGGACUAUGUUCCCGCAAGGACUUUUAUUCCACACUUUGUUCUACGAAACUUAAACGGAAACAACUUCUCAGGGUGAACAGCACAAUUUGGCUACGUAUCUUUAUCCUAAGUUCCCUCUUGUCUCUCUUGGUACUAUGUUUCAAUCGCUUCUGCCCUUUGCAUAAAAUGUUCCAACUUUUAUAUGGUAAAUUGUAGUUAUCAUUGAGUAAAUACAUUCGUGUGGGCACUAGACACAAGGAC